rnacentral:rRNA from 1 species
UGGGGAAUAUUGCACAAUGGGCGAAAGCCUGAUGCAGCGACGCCGCGUGAGGGAUGACGGCCUUCGGGUUGUAAACCUCUUUCAGCAGGGACGAAGCGCAAGUGACGGUACCUGCAGAAGAAGCACCGGCUAACUACGUGCCAGCAGCCGCGGUAAUACGUAGGGUGCAAGCGUUGUCCGGAAUUACUGGGCGUAAAGAGUUCGUAGGCGGUUUGUCGCGUCGUUUGUGAAAACCAGCAGCUCAACUGCUGGCUUGCAGGCGAUACGGGCAGACUUGAGUACUGCAGGGGAGACUGGAAUUCCUGGUGUAGCGGUGAAAUGCGCAGAUAUUAGGAGGAACACCGGUGGCGAAGGCGGGUCUCUGGGCAGUAACUGACGCUGAGGAACGAAAGCGUGGGUAGCGAACAGG